AUUCAAUUGUUCAAUCGACAAAAUGAACGGAAAAGUUGUUCUCAUUGCUGUGCUUGCUCUUUCAUGUCUUAUUGCUACAGUUGUGUGUGAACCUAACCCACAACCGCGGCCCGAUACUAUUUCAGUGACACCCACCGACACCGCGGGGAAUGCAAAUAGUCAAAAAACUGAUGCUGGUCAAACUCAAAGCAAGAAACGCGGGUUUAUGAAUUUUAGAUCAUCAUAGGAUGGGCAAUGGCGAUCAUCCAAUACUUUUUAAAAAGCAAUAAACAUUUGUGAAGGCA